rnacentral:lncRNA from 1 species
GCUAAGCCCUCCGCCCCCCGGGGCGUCCGCGCGGCGCAUCGCCACCAAGCAGAACCCGCGCUUGGAUGAUGCCCGCCGGCCCUGGCCGACCGCUGUCUCGCUGCAGGAGCGGGUGGACGUGGGAGCGCUCGAAUAUUCCUUUGUCAUUUUUCAUGAAUGGACUGAGUCCUGAUCAUAACUAUAUGAUGGUAGAUUCCAUUGAAGAGUGGUAAGUAUUUCAAAUAAUGACUUUGCUACUGCUAUUACUUAAAAUAACGUAUUGACCUUUUUUUUAAAUCUACUUUGGGUAAACUCUUCUACUUUGCAAUUGACUUAUAAAUAAUUAACAAGUUAAAAAGAUACCUGAAGAAAGUGUGUAUUUUUUCACUUACUGGAGUACUUUAAAGUAUGUGCAUAUAUAUCCUUUGCAAUAAAUAUUUACUGGGCAUUUUAUAAGCAACUAUGGUUCUGGAGGUAGAAAUAUGGGUAAAUUACAGUCCAGUGGGGAAGACUGGCCCAUACAAAACUGACCUUAGUUUAGUAUAAGUAUUGAAUUUUUGAACAGCUAAGUUGGAAAGUCAGGCCGGUAUAUGAAAAUAUUGCUUAGAACAUUUGUGGUAUUCUGAAUUACCAUUUGAACCAGUACAUAAUCAGAAUAAAAAAAUUUUUUUAAACUUAGUUAUUUUGUAUCUGGAGUUUUUCAUUUUUACAUAUUUUUAGUCAAAAGUAGUAUUACCACAUUAGGUCACCCACAUAUUAAUUGGAUGGGUUUUAAAUGAUAUUUGGUUGAUUCUAAAAACAAAACGUCUCAGAAGAUGGAAAUUGGACCAGCUGUUGACAUUCAAAAAACCAAAGUCCCAUAGUCAGAAAUACUACAGGCAAAUACAUUUUCUAAGUCACUUGAAAAUUACAGGAGGGAUCGAGACUGUUUAAUUUAUGAAGCUAUCAAACUCUAAUAGCAUCAACUUGUAUACAAUUUCUUGCAUAUACAUGGAACUACAGAGAAAAUGUAAAUAAAUAGAGUCUGAAAGCGAUUGAGAAUGGGUAAGAGUUUAUAAUACAAUAUUAAGCCUUUCUGAAUCACAGAUGAGAAGAGUAAAGCUUAGGAACAGACUUUAUUGAAUGGCAGAAUCAGGACAGGAAAUCCAUGUCUACUGAUGUCUUGUAUACUAUAUCAUAAAUACUUGCGAAAAAUUCUUUUUCAAACCAGUUUCAUAAAACUUUAAAAAAUGAGAAAUUGGAUAAGUAACUCAUAAGAGUAUGAGCUUUCUGGCCAGGUUCCCUUCAGCUACUUGUAACUAGGCCUGACAAUUUAGAUCUUCUCCCUCUUAUUUUAACUGGUUAUGGUGAUUAGUUCUAGACUUUUCUGCAUUUGAGAAAAAAAUUGCUUUUUCAAUCUUAGUAAAGUCUUCAAAACAAUUCUGAGAGCUUCUCUCAUAAUUUUUUUGGGUAACAUUCCAUAAUAUAUUUAUUAAAUUCACUCCAAGGUAGUGAGAUUUUAUUCUCCCUAAGUAGUUCAAAUUAGUGAAGUUUUAAUGUAAAUUUUUAGGAUAUAGAUACAGUGCAUUCUAUAUAUGGUAUUUUCUUUUAAUGGAGUAUGUCUUUCUGGGGAAGUGGUUGAUGUGGGCGCUGAUUUUCAGAAGUACACAAAUUCUUUGUGUUUCUAAAUCUUUUAAACCUAAGGGAAACAAGUAUCAGAAGAACAGAGCUGUUCUCUUGGGAGUUAUGUUGGCUUUUUAAAAAUCUUCCUUGUUAUUUUCUGUAGUGAGUCCAGGUAGCUACUAGAAUUACUUCGUAGUUGUUAUAAACCCUUGUCUUUGAUUUAUAAUAAUGCCCUCCAGGGAAGUAAGACUCAACAGAUGGCUCAUCUUCUCCAAAAGGAUUUGAUAAUCUCCACAUGGGGCUCUUUCUAAAAAAUUUUGAGACAGUAGCAAAGUAAACAUGAUGAGUGAGAAGAAAUAAGAUAGUCUUGAUGGUCAUUUUUAAUAAAAUUCAAAGCAAAAUGAAACUAUUCUUGAACCUCUUUUGCUAUUUUAUUUCCAGUUUUCUGUUAACUUUGUAUGAAGAAGGUGGAGAUGAUCUAGAAACAGUUUUUGUUUAAUAACUUCUGCGUUCUGUGUGUGAGACUGAAGGGCAGUUUAAAACAAAAACAACUUUGAUUGUCAUUAUUCUGCAUUAAAGCAUUUCAUAUGCCCUCUCUCUUCCCAAGCUCCAAGUCACUCAUAGCCAAACCUCAAGUUAAAGAACUUGAGAGAGAAUAAAUGAUAGAACUUUCUAAGUCACUGAGUGACAUUGAGCUUUCUUUAAAUGUAUGUGUUCAGAAAGUGUUGACAUUUAAACCUUUUGAAUAACCUCUAAAUAUAUCUAAUGGGAUAUAUGACACGUAAUAAUGGUUUCAUGAAUAUUGUAUCUGAAAUCAGUAAAAAAAAAAAAAAAAAGAAAGAAAGAAAGAAAGAAAAAGAUGAUCUGAUGCUCAGCCAGGUGUUCCUGCCCAAAUUAAUGGAGAAAUAAAGGUAAAUAACAUUCUUAAGUGAAAGAAUUAUUUAACAGAUGGUUUUUAAGUAAGCAGCUUAAGGGCAUUCUCUCCCUCUUCAACAAAGUUUGGUUUCAAGCCUCUUGGCCAAUGAAAAGCAAUGUAUUGUUUACUUCUUCAGUACCCCCUUCCCAAUUUAAGAGACAUUUAUUGAAAAUCUAUUUGCAUACAGUUAGAUGUUAAACUUUGAGUUAUUAAGCUGUACAUUUUUUUAUCUGAGUCUUUUCCUUUCUUAUCAUACAGCUCUUAAUCUUUAGCUCUCUUAUGAUCAGUUCAGCCUGACCUAUUGGAGAUCUUAUAAAAAUAUUCCAAUUCAUAUUUUUCCUUAGUGCUCUGUUUGUUUAUUGUGACAUCACAAGGAAUUUCUCCUUCCAGUUUUCUGUCAUUAUCCUAUUCCUUUCCAUGGGCCUGGAUCUUUUUGCUCUUGGCCUCCUCAAUGUAAUGCCUCAUUUCUACAAGGAAACAUUACCAGAAACUGCCACUGUUCUGGGAUUGCAGAUACUCUAUACUUAAAAAAAAAAAAAAAAAAAAAAAAAAAAAA